AAGCAAGCGCGCGUGUUUUCAGUUACGCGUCAGCGAGGCCAGAGACAGAAAAUGCCAGAAGCUCUUUUGUGUUAACCACCUGCUACACGCAGUUUCUGAGUUAGAUGGUCAUUAACUGCCCCAGCAAAAGACUUCGAAGACUUUUAGGAAAAUGAAAGAGUUCUUGAAAUCAAUGAGAUUUCAACCUCUGUGUGACCACAAUUCUGCAGAUUACAUAGGGAGAGUUAAAGAUGCGAGUUUACUGCAAACCAGCUUAUAUUAAUUUCAUUCAGUCAAUUAAUCGGUGGUUCAAAGUGACUGAGAAAAACAGUAUUCAUACAAAAGAGUACAGGUGAAAAACACUUAGCCGAUCCACAAAACUCUGACCGUGCUGCUUUCCUUGGCCACAUUACUACAGUUUUUAAAACUAGCUGUUCUCAAGCCAUGUAAGUAAACAAUACGUAAAAUGAAAUAUCCUGUUGUAAAUUUAAAUUGCUAGGCAACAGUUUUAUUCUCUCUUCUUUUCUCUUGGAAAAUUCAAAGAUGAUUCUAGGAAUAGUUAUAAACUGAUUUUACUUUUAAACAAUCAGUUUCUUCAUAACCAUUUAUUUGAAAAUAUGUAUUAUUCUGAAGACAUUUUUGACAUUAAAAAAAAAUGAAAAUAUGUAUUAUUUUCCUCCUCAUUCAUUUUGUCAUGUACUACAUUCUUACGGGGUAGCUCUUUAUUUUCUUCCAGUAACAUGGUUGUUCCUGUAGUAUUUCCAAAUUAAUCUUUAACAAUAGCGAAACUCUUAAAGCGUGACUUAAUUUAAUAAUGUUUUAAUCAUUCUUAUUUUGCAAUGUAAACAUAUUAGAUGGGGCUGGGUCCUUUUUCAUUCUAUUUAUCAACUGUCAUCUCAUCAAUAGUCUACCGCAAGAACUCUGCAGUAAUUUUAUCAAAUUUUACUGGAAUUUCCACUGAGAAUGAACUAAACUUGUAAAUUAAAUGGAAGAACUAUGGUGGCUUUCCCAGCUAAGCAUCAUGGCACGGGUCCGUCUAUUUGCACGUCUGCUCUUUCUCACACUUCCUGGUGUCGCCAGUUACUCUACGCUCGGGCACGGAAUGUAACUGCAACUGUCAGAGACUCGACUGCUAACAAACUAAACCUUCCCACGAUCCUCUGGAAUUAGAAAAUGUGAGAGACAGCUGCGGUUUCCCAGCACUAAUGCUCAGCAGAACGUCUUGACGGAGGAAAAACAAAGCACGAAGAAUAGAAAACACGGUGCAUUUCCAAAGCAGGCCUUACUCAACGCUGCACUGCAGUAUCCGUUCUUAUAAUUAGUGACAGUUUAAGGAAAUUAGAAAAGUCCAUUGUGUGCAGUGAUAAACUUCAUGAAGCAUAGACUUUGGCACGCUGAACAAAAUACCUGGUGCCAAGAAGAUAUUAUGCAAUGCUAUGACUAACCAUAACUACACCAACAAAACACACGCCCUGCUGCCUUCAUAUGCUCCAUGCUUAAGAGCAAGUUAAACAUAGUUACUUUCCAUAGAACAACCUAGUAGGUGUCUACCAGAUUUAGGAACUGCCCGGGGAGACUACGAAACUCUUCCAAUUUCUGUAAAUUUACAGAAUCCCAAUACUUUAUAGCGUUUCAAAAACUAUUCAAAGAAAAAGGUUUCGGGAAGCUUUGAAAAGCAGCUAAAAUUUUAAAAUCCUCACAAACUUUUCAACUUCAAUGUUUUUUUUUUUUUUAUAUUUAGUGGUCAUCUGCGAGUGAAACACCCCUCCUACUUGGGCAAGACACGAACUAGCACAUUUAGGUUUUUGUUACAUUUGAUGAUUACGGAAUAAGGGUCAAUACACACCAUAUAAAACUGCAGACGAUAGUGUUUCUUCACCAGGCUCAGCACAAACAUGCAGAAACCUGUCCAAGAACAAAAAAAAAAAAAAAAACGUGCUUGUAGUGCGAUUUGGCACAGAAUGGGAGACUCCCAGGGCCCAAGAAAGCCGAUUUCCUUUGUCAUACCUAGGCCUCUGUUACUGACUUACUCGGAUGCCUUCUCUCCCACUACGUGCAAUUAGGCAUUUUAAGUUUCUUGAGGGGAACAACAAUCUUGUACUCUCCAAAGUGCCUGAUCCCACGGCACGUGGUCAAUGAACAGCCCUCGCACUAUUGCAAGGAAUCAGUCCCUGGCUGAGAUACGUGGACGUGGAAAACAGAUCUUGCAUUUCAAUUAAAUAAAAUUUAAUUGCUGUACCAACGCA